rnacentral:rRNA from 1 species
GACGAACGCUGGCGGCGUGCCUAAUACAUGCAAGUCGAGCGCAGGAAGCUGACGGAACUCUUCGGAGGGAAGGCAGUGGAAUGAGCGGCGGACGGGUGAGUAACACGUAAGGAACCUGCCUCAAGGCUUGGGAUAACUCCGAGAAAUCGGAGCUAAUACCGGAUAGUUCAACGGACCGCAUGGUCCGCUGAUGAAAGGCGCUCCGGCGUCACCUUGAGAUGGCCUUGCGGUGCAUUAGCUAGUUGGUGGGUAACGGCCCACCAAGGCGACGAUGCAUAGCCGACCGGAGAGGGUGAUCGGCCACACUGGGACUGAGACACGGCCCAGACUCCUACGGGAGGCAGCAGUAGGGAAUCUUCCACAAUGGACGAAAGUCUGAUGGAGCAACGCCGCGUGAGUGAUGAAGGUUUUCGGAUCGUAAAACUCUGUUGUAAGGGAAGAACACGUACGAGAGGGAAUGCUCGUACCUUGACGGUACCUUACGAGAAAGCCACGGCUAACUACGUGCCAGCCGCCGCCGUAAGAC